ensembl:lncRNA
GCCUGGGGGUGUAGGAUGGCCUGGUGGUGGAGGAGGAGGACCUGCUGGGGUUCCAGGAGGUACGGGGACUCUUGGAAAGCCUAGACAACCAGGGACUGGAGGGACUUGGAGCAUUUCUUCAAAGUAUAAAAGCUACCCAGUGAAGGUCAGUGUGAACAACAAACCAGAUGGGGCAGUCUACCGCCCAAGCACCAAGCCCAUCUCCCUCCCAGAGGGCAAAGGACAACUCUCCAUCCCCAAGGUCAUUUGUACCUUUCCUGCCACGGAUGGAGAUUCAGGAGAACAGGCCCAGAAUGUCAGGUAUGCAAAAGGUUAUGACCCUGGAAACUGGUUCACCAUUGAUGAAGAGACAGCUGAAAUCACACUCAAUAAGAUGCCAGACCGGGAGUCUCCGUAUGUGGUGAAUGGGACCUACCUGGCCAAGAUUCUCUGUAUGACAAAUGACAUGCCCACCCAGACAGCCACGGGGACCAUUGCAGUGCAUGUGGAGGACACUAAUGACAACUGCCCCACGCUCACCAGCCACGUGCAGUACCUGUGCAGUGACACUAAGGUGGUGAAUGUGACAGCAGAGGAUUUGGAUGGAGACCCUAACGGUCCGCCGCUUGAGUUCACGCUGCUGGAUGAGGGUGUGGGGGUGAAGUGGAGGCUUCAGCAGACCGGAGAUGCUUCAGCAGCGCUGUGGGCUGAAGAUGGUCUUUGGCCUGGCCUCUAUGAGGUCACGUUUGAGAUACGAGACAAGCAGGGGUUGGCCUGUCCUGACAGACAGGUCCUCAAAUUGGAGGUGUGCACUUGCCAAGGGGGCUUGACUUCCUGUGCUUUAAAACAGGAACAGAUGCAGUCAGGGGUGACAUCCAGCAAGAAGUCAUCCGAACUGGGAGGAGCCGCAGUGGGAGGGAUGCUGUUAGGCCUCCUCGCACUCCUGUUGGUCCCAUUGAUGGCUUUGUUCUGCUCCUGUGGAGGAACCAGUGGGCUUACAGGAGGCUUCACUGACCUGCCCUUUGACGGCAAGACUCAUCUCAUCUCCUAUCACACCGAGGGAAAGGGAGAGGACCGGGAGGUUCCUCUGAUGAGUGUUCCGGUACUAAUCUCCAAAGUAAUUCCAGUUACUGCUUCCGCAAACAUGGCUACCACCACCAUGGUGAGCAGGCAGAUGCAGGAGAAUGCAUUCGGAGGCUUUUAUGACUAUGAUGAGCCAGAGAUGGGGAACAUGGACUCCAGUGCCCAUUGGGAGUAUACUUCAGAUCUGCCGGAGAUGAGAGAGGAGGAUCAGCUCUCAUUCAUGGCACUACCAGACACCUUUCUGGACCAUUACUUCUCACAGAAAGCAGAGCAUACAGCAGUGACUUCUUGUCCGAAGGACAAUCUGUUGGUGUAUGAAUACGAGGGACAGGGAUCUCCCGCUAACUCUGUGGGCUGCUGCAGCCUCCUCGAGUCUGAGGAAUGACCUCCAGUUUCUUGACGACUUGGGGUCAAAGUUCGCCACCCUCGCCCAGAUCUGUGGAUACUCCAAAGUCACAAGCCCAAAAAUGGACCAUCAGAUCACACCUCCCAUGUCAGAAAUGGACACCAGUAUCAUCAUGACAACCGAUGUUAAAAAACAGACAAGGGAGUCCAGAUCCUCAAGCAUCAGCAACCACGAGGCACCACCUGUGCGCAUGGACAGGAGCGUCAGCUUUGUGGAGGAACACAGCCCACCCCCACUUCCCAGGAUGCAACUGUGCGAGACCAUGGCCAUGCCCACCCAGACUGUGUUGGUGCAGCAGCAGCCCCUGUACUACAUGGUGGAGCCGCAGGUUCAGAGCAGAGUGCUGCUGGCCGAGAGGCCCCCAGUGGGUCUGGGUCAGGGAGUGAUCCUGGUGAACAGGAGCCAGGCAGCCACAGAGAGGGUGCUGCUGCAGAGGGGAGGGCUAGUGCAGGGAGGAGGUCUAAUGCAGGGAGGAGGUCUAGUGCAGGGAGGAGGUCUAGUGCAGGGAGGAGGUCUAUUGCAAGGAAGAGGUCUGCUGCAGGGAGGAGGUUUAGUGCAGAGAGAAGGUCUGCUGCAGGGAAGAGGUCUAGUGCAGGGAGGAGGUCUAGUGCAGGGAGGUCUAAUGCAGGGAGGAGGUCUAGUGCAGGGAGGUCUAAUGCAGGGAGGAGGUCUAGUACAAGGGGGAGGGCUGCUGCAGGGGGGACGUCUAGUGCUGCAGCAGGGCAGGCACGUUCAAGGGGCUCAGGGGAUGCUAAUACAAAAUGGUCCCAUGUUACAGGGAGUCAGCACCCCAACUAGCCCCACGCUACUUUUUCAGGGUGGUCAUACCUUGGUUCAACACACUGAUGGGUCACAACGUGUGGUGCUCGUGCAAAGGCAGCCUGGCGACAUAGCACAGAUGCCAGGCCAGACAUUCACCCCUGCACCCCAGAAGAUGCAUAUGCCCAGACAACAGAGUGUGGUCCUAGUGGACAAGCAGGUAGGGAUGAAGCAAGAUGCCCCAGGAAGUGUCAGAACACUGUGGCCAACAAGUCAUUCAAGUCAUUCAAGUGAAAGUCUAACAAUGCCAGCCUAUGAAAGUGGUCAGAUGAGCAGUGAGAGAGUUAACAUGGCACAAAGCAACAUAACCCAUGUUCCAGUACCACAACCCCAGCAACCCCUUUUCAGCACAGGGUUCCUUGAGGGGUUGGGGGGUCUGGGCCCAGGUCCGGCCCCAGCAGGACACCCGAUGAGCAUACGUGUAGAGGAGGUAAUUUCUGUUGCUACCAUUCCAAAAGUUCCUCAUAUAGCACCAAUAACUUCACAGAUUGAGACUGGGCUGCAGAAGAAAGUGUUUUUUGAGGAAACUGUUGUGGAUUUGACCACAGACACAUCCCAACAAGAGGAGGUCUCAGUGGAGAUCCAGGGGAGCGUUUUGGCUGAGGAACAUGUGGCAGUGGAGGUUGAGUCUUACAACCCUGAACCUCACCUGAAGAUAGACAGCGUGGAAAAAGCCACAGUUGUGCCAGAAGAUCUGUCUGAUGACCUUGGUGAGCCUGAUGGUGACGCCACUGUAGACCAUGGGGAAAGCCUGCCUGUGUCCUCACAGGACGUGACCGUAUCAUCACAAAUGUCAGUGACUGAGGACCCUACCCAACACAAUGUCCCUAAGGUGGCAGAGGGGAAUUUAACAGGAGCAAUACUUGGAAACACAGAUUCUGGGUGGACAGUGGAUCACUAUUCAUCUGACACAACUCUUCUCUCUGUACCUGAGGUAUCCCCAGGUGACUCUGACAUCAUUGAUCUGGUAGCAGACCAGAUCAGUGCUGGUCACUCAUUGCAGUGCGAUUCAGGAAUGGUGGAUGAUACAACCUCUCUGUCAGUGGGUGAAUUGGUGUCUUCAACAAACGACACACAUGCUGAGGAGAUUGAAAAUAAGGUAUCCAGUAUAUCACUUGAAAACACUCCUGAAGCAGAAGAGUUAGGCCCUGGGGAGGGAGAAGCAAGCUAUGUCGAUGGACCCACAGAAUUAACUCCUACGGUAGACAUUCCAGUUUCACUUCAAGAGAUAACAGAUGUUUCAGAGACUGAACUUCAAUCUCGUACCCUGGAGCUGGAUAUAGACAAGAGCCCCGGCCCAGAGGUAUCUCUGGAAACCUUCCAGGGUACUGACCCAGCAGAGAUAGAAGCUUUGGAGGUCACUCUCCUACAAAUGCAGCAGGUUGCAAUCGGUCAAGAGUUGGUAAGGACAGCCUCGCCGUCAGCUGCACCCCAUGACCAAAUCACCACACUUGACCAGGAGAACUUGGAGGAGGGCAAAGAUGUUUGCAUAGAGGGUGAGAGUGUGAUUUUGAGUCCGGUAGUGACCUCUAUGUCUGAGAUGAGUGAGGUAACUGCAAAUGAAUCUCUGGAGCCCAAUGCUGUGGAGAGGCAUACAAUAGAUCCAGCCUAUGUGGAGGAAGAGAGUGAGGUGGAAAUGGUAAUAGAAUACGCUGGACAAAUGCCAGAGGGUGAAACAUCUGGACAAGAUGUGAAGGAACAUCUGGAUCUGCUGAGUGAGGAUGACUCUAACAUGGACAUCCCAGAAGCAGACAAGCCAAUGCAAGCAGAGAUGGAACCCCUAAGGGAAGCUGAGCAGGACUUACAGGGUGGAUCUUUGGAGGUCUCUGAAAAUCAAUCAGAAAGGAAUGAAGAGGAACAGGAGCCCAUAAACAAAGGGGACAUGUCUGAUGCAGGGAGCAUGGAGGUACAGUGCUCCACAGCCCAUUCAGACCAAACAGAGGGAGGUCUAGUACAGGGGGGAGGUCUAGUGCAGGGAGGAGGUCUAAUGCAGGGAGGGCUACUGCAAGGAGGAGGUCUAGUGCAGGGAGGAGGUCUGGUGCAGGGAGGAGGUCUAGUGCAGGGAGGAGGUCUAACGGGGGUGAAGGGGGCAGUUGUCCCGGGUUCCAGUCCUGAGCAGACUAACCUGGAACGAGCAGAGAGCCUGGUAAUAUAGAGGCUCAGGGGAUGAUAUAAUACAAAAUGGUCAACAUGUGGUCCAUCAAGGAGACGGGCUGGUACAGGGAGGGCAGAUGGUAGAGGUGCAGGGGAGUCAGCAGCACAGUCCUGGAUCUCCGACCAUGUUUCUGAUGAACGAAGGGCAGACACUUGGGCCCGGAUCCCCUCUCACCAGCCAGCCUCUGCAUGCAGCCAACACGUGCGGCUCUCCAGUGCUGCUUGUGGACGGAGGCAUGAGGCAGGGAGGGGAAAUCCGGCUAGACACCAUGCAGCGAGAUUCUACUAAGGCUCAAAAGAGGCAGGUGGCCAAAGGGCAGGUUGUGCAUGGGUCUCAAUUUUUUGUGGAAGCACAGACCUUACCCAGCAGUCCGAUUCUUCAGGGGGGUGGGCACAUCCAAAGAGAACCCCGGAGAAGGUCCAGUAGUGGUAGAGUGUGUGUGGGUGGCCCCAUGCCCCCCAUGCUGCUACAAGCUCAUACCUGGAGUGAACACUCAGCAAGGGCUAGAGAGAACCACAAAACACUGACCAACGUAACAUUCUGUCAGUGACAGAUGGGAAAGUGUGAAUAACAACUUCAUGGAAUCUUCCACCGCAGCACCUAAUGGAAUAAGCUCUUGCUGGUGAUCAACAUUAAUCACCUCUUCCUAGGAACUGUACAUAGAGCUGCAUAUAAUAUUUUCUGAGAUCAGUGUAAAAUAUCCUCGAUCCUAUGUGAUAUGUAUAUGUGCUGUAGUAUAGAUUGUAUGUGUCAUGAUUUGGGACCUUCUGGC